rnacentral:rRNA from 1 species
ACUCCUGCGGGAGGCAGCAGUGGGGAAUUUUGGACAAUGGGCGAAAGCCUGAUCCAGCAAUGCCGCGUGAGUGAAGAAGGCCUUCGGGUUGUAAAGCUCUUUUGUCAGGGAAGAAACGGUGAAAGCUAAUAUCUUUUGCUAAUGACGGUACCUGAAGAAUAAGCACCGGCUAACUACGUGCCAGCAGCCGCGGUAAUACGUAGGGUGCAAGCGUUAAUCGGAAUUACUGGGCGUAAAGCGUGCGCAGGCGGUUUUGUAAGUCUGAUGUGAAAUCCCCGGGCUCAACCUGGGAAUUGCAUUGGAGACUGCAAGGCUAGAAUCUGGCAGGGGGGGGUAGAAUUCCACGUGUAGCAGUGAAAUGCGUAGAUAUGUGGAGGAACACCGAUGGCGAAGGCAGCCCCCUGGGUCAAGAUUGACGCUCAUGCACGAAAGCGUGGGGAGCAAACAGGAUUAGAUACCCCUGUAGUCCCA